rnacentral:rRNA from 1 species
UGGGGAAUUUUGGACAAUGGGGGCAACCCUGAUCCAGCAAUGCCGCGUGUGUGAAGAAGGCCUUCGGGUUGUAAAGCACUUUUGUCCGGAAAGAAAACGCCGUGGUUAAUACCCGUGGCGGAUGACGGUACCGGAAGAAUAAGCACCGGCUAACUACGUGCCAGCAGCCGCGGUAAUACGUAGGGUGCAAGCGUUAAUCGGAAUUACUGGGCGUAAAGCGUGCGCAGGCGGUCCGCUAAGACAGAUGUGAAAUCCCCGGGCUUAACCUGGGAACUGCAUUUGUGACUGGCGGGCUAGAGUAUGGCAGAGGGGGGUAGAAUUCCACGUGUAGCAGUGAAAUGCGUAGAGAUGUGGAGGAAUACCGAUGGCGAAGGCAGCCCCCUGGGCCAAUACUGACGCUCAUGCACGAAAGCGUGGGGAGCAAACAGGAUUAGAUACCCUGGUAGUCCACGCCCUAAACGAUGUCAACUAGUUGUUGGGGAUUCAUUUCCUUAGUAACGUAGCUAACGCGUGAAGUUGACCGCCUGGGGAGUACGGUCGCAAGAUUAAAACUUAAAGGAAUUGACGGGGUCAUAGCUGUUU